UUUCACAUGAGCAACCCCUAAAACUCAACGCGUAAUAACAACUACAGAGCAUUUCGCAAAGAGUAAACAAGGAAAAUUCUCACGGUGGAUAUGCUCCAUCCAGUUUACUUCAAGAUCGUAUUGAUGACGCCGGCACCGACGGUCUUUCCACCCUCACGGAUGGCAAACCUCAUUCCCUGCUCACAAGCGACGGGCUGGAUGAGCUCCACAACCAUCUUGACACGGUCACCAGGCAUGCACAUCUUCGCCUCCUCGUCCUUGUCGUUCAUAAUCUUUGUGACAUUCCCCGUCACAUCGGUAGUCCGCAUGUAGAACUGAGGGCGGUAACCAGGGAAAAACGGUGAGUGCCGUCCACCCUCGUCCUUCUUCAGGACAUACACAACCGCAUCAAACUUGGUGUGUGGCGUGAUGGAAGCAGGCUUCGCAAGCACCAUGCCUCUCUCGAUAUCAUCCUUCUGCAUACCUCGGAGAAGCAGGCCGACAUUGUCCCCAGCCAUCGCAUCAUCCAUGGUCUUCUGGAACAUCUCAACACCAGUCACCGUGCAGUUGCGAGUCUCCCGGAUACCGACGAUAUCGACCGUGUCCCCAACCUUGACGGUGCCACGCUCAAUACGGCCAGUGGCAACGGUACCACGACCGGUGAUGGAGAACACAUCCUCAACAGCAAGCAAGAACGGGAGGUCGGUCUGGCGCUGUGGGACAGGGAUGUAGUUAUCCACGGAAUCAAUCAACGAGAAGAUCCCGUCCACCCACUCAUCAUCGCCGCGCUUAAUGGCAGGGUUGGCCAUGAGGUUCUCGAGCGCCUUGAGCGCGGAGCCAGCGACGAUGGGCACUUCGUCGCCAUCGUACUCG
rnacentral:misc_RNA from 1 species